AUGGCCCUCCCAAGAGAGAAGCAGGCGUCGGCGCUGUGCAGGCCGUCCAUGGCGAUGGAGACGCCCGGGCAGGAAGGGCUCGAUCCGGAUGAACCAGCCCACACCGAGCCCGGCCGCCUCAACAGGAGCUCGUCUCUCUGCCUGCCAGUGGCUCACCGAAGCCGCCACUGCCGGCGACCGCCUCCCUCACCUUGUGCCCCUUCUCCUUCGCCUUUCUUCCUCUCUUCCCCGAGGAGCGGGGAGCCGGCGAAUCCGUCAGUCAGGAGCUGGGCGGCGCCCUCCAUCAUCGCCGCCGUUUGGGGAGGGACGCGGUCCUGGUCGAUGCGGUGUGGGGCGGGCGAUGCUGUUGGGGAACGUAGCAGAAAUUCAAAAAAUUUCCUACGAAUCACCAAGAUCUAUCUAUGGAGAGACCAGCAACGAGUAGAAAGAGAGGAGAGUUUGCAUCUACAUACCCUUGUAGAUCGCUAA
rnacentral:rRNA from 1 species